GCUACCCCCUCCUCCACCCCUAUUUUGAACAGUCCACCACUUUUGAAUAGUUUGGCUUCCUACUUGGGGCCUGUCGGGCGCUGCUCCCCAUACUCACUCUACUUACGCUGUCAAUUACCAGAUUUUACUAUUAACAUGACGUAAAGUCAUGAUUUUAUUAAUGACACGGAGGCGAGUAUUAUGCAUUCUCUUUCUUUAUUAUACUCCCAGCAGCAAGAAGAGGGAAGUAUGAGAGAAUCAUAGAAAAAGAAAACCAUAACAGUAUCCUGGUAACAGUAGCACCAAUCAGCAUCCAGUAUAAUCCAUAUAGGUGUAGUGCUCCUUGACUCCUCCUCUUUCUGCGUAGAUCCCGAAGACCAUUAGUGCAAAUUUUCAAGUAGUCCAACCAUAACUACGAAUUCACGAACCAAAACCAUAACUGGAACUUCGAUUUAGAACCGUUUCAACCGCCAACUCUCCAGUUGUAUUCAAGCUAAAAGAAAGGAGAAAUAUGGUAAUAUCGAAAUCUCGUGACUGAAUUCCGCAACCAACAAGUCGUCACUCAUGUUAAUCAAACGAUGAAUUACAUCAAAUCUUGACAGCCAUAUUGCUAGAUCGAACUGCGUAUCAUAUAAACCACAUUCAUAGAAUACCCACUCAC